rnacentral:rRNA from 1 species
UGGGGAAUAUUGCACAAUGGGCGCAAGCCUGAUGCAGCCAUGCCGCGUGUAUGAAGAAGGCCUUCGGGUUGUAAAGUACUUUCAGCGGGGAGGAAGGGAGUAAAGUUAAUACCUUUGCUCAUUGACGUUACCCGCAGAAGAAGCACCGGCUAACUCCGUGCCAGCAGCCGCGGUAAUACGGAGGGUGCAAGCGUUAAUCGGAAUUACUGGGCGUAAAGCGCACGCAGGCGGUUUGUUAAGUCAGAUGUGAAAUCCUCGGGCUCAACCUGGGAACUGCAUCUGAUACUGGCAAGCUUGAGUCUCGUAGAGGGGGGUAGAAUUCCAGGUGUAGCGGUGAAAUGCGUAGAGAUCUGGAGGAAUAUCGGUGGCGAAGGCGGCCCCCUGGACGAAGACUGACGCUCAGGUGCGAAAGCGUGGGGAGCAAACAGG